UACGUAGGUGGCAAGCGUUGUCCGGAAUUAUUGGGCGUAAAGAGCUCGUAGGUGGCUUGUCACGUCGGGUGUGAAAGCUUGGGGCUUAACUCCAGGUCUGCAUUCGAUACGGGCUGGCUAGAGGUAGGUAGGGGAGAACGGAAUUCCUGGUGUAGCGGUGAAAUGCGCAGAUAUCAGGAGGAACACCGGUGGCGAAGGCGGUUCUCUGGGCCUUACCUGACGCUGAGGAGCGAAAGCGUGGGGAGCGAACAGG
rnacentral:rRNA from 1 species